AACGAACGCUGGCGGCGUGGAUUAGGCAUGCAAGUCGAACGCGAAAGAGGGGGUAACUCCUCGAGUAGAGUGGCGAACGGGUGGAGUAACACGUGAGAAACCUAGCCUUCAGCAGGGGGAGUAACACUCCCAACGGGGUGGCUAAUACCGCAUGAGACCACGGAUUCGCAUGGAUCUGGGGUCGAAAGGUGGCCUCUGCUUGCAAGCUACCGGCUGAAGAUGGUCUCGCGCCCAUUAGCUAGUUGGUGGGGUAAU
rnacentral:rRNA from 1 species